ensembl:snRNA U6 U6 spliceosomal RNA
GUGUACAUAUACUUAAAAAAACUGGAAUGAUACAGAGAAGAUUAGCAUGGCCCUUGCGCAGGCAUGAUAUACAAAUUCAUGAAGCAUUCCAUACUAAA